rnacentral:rRNA from 1 species
CCUACGGGGGGCAGCAGUGGGGAAUAUUGGACAAUGGGGGCAACCCUGAUCCAGCCAUGCCGCGUGUGUGAAGAAGGCCCUCGGGUUGUAAAGCACAUUCAGUGAGGAAGAACGCCUGGUGGUUAAUACCCAUCAGGAAAGACAUCACUCACAGAAGAAGCACCGGCUAACUCCGUGCCAGCAGCCGCGGUAAUACGGAGGGUGCGAGCGUUAAUCGGAAUUACUGGGCGUAAAGCGCGCGUAGGUGGCUUGAUAAGCCGGUUGUGAAAGCCCCGGGCUCAACCUGGGAACGGCAUCCGGAACUGUCAAGCUAGAGUGCAGGAGAGGAAGGUAGAAUUCCCGGUGUAGCGGUGAAAUGCGUAGAGAUCGGGAGGAAUACCAGUGGCGAAGGCGGCCUUCUGGACUGACACUGACACUGAGGUGCGAAAGCGUGGGUAGCAAACAGGAUUAGAUACCCUAGUAGUC